GGUGGUCUGUGAUGAUACCCUAUUAUUGUGACUGUUGGAUGAAACAUGCGGAUAUGGGACUGAGAUCAGGG